GGCAAUUUUACCGUUCAAUUUUGGAUUGAAUGAUGGCGGAAUUGGGUUUUCCAUUUUCUUUCGACUUUUUUGGACGCACUUUGAAGGUAACAAACACUUUGGCACUUGUGUAUUUAUAUUCAACAAACUGUUUGUUGGAAUAGGAAAAAAAUAGACAUGUGCAUACCUAAUGAUUAUAAUUAGGUAAAUGCCAACAUCAGUUGAAUUUUGGGAAUUAGCAGAAGUACCCUCAAAUUUGUCAGUUUAUAUGUUGGAAUCAUUCAGAAAGUAGAUCCCAUAGCUUAUUGUAGCCAGCCAACCCUGGACCCGGGGGACCAGGGGCGGAGGUAGUAAGGGGUUAGGUUCAGCUGAAUCCGUUUGAUAGAAAAUUAUAUCAUGUGUGUAUAUAUAGUUAGAUAUUGCAUCCAUUUCAACUUAUUCACGUGUUUACUUUUCAUAUUUUGAAGUGAAAAUUUUGACUCCACCACGGAGAUAUAUUUCAUUUUCUUGUUAUAAUCCAGCAAAUUCCGUCCAUUCAGGCGAAAUUUUUUUUGGCUCACAUGUAAUAGGAAUCUCCACUUCACAAGGAAGAUGUCUCUAGUUUUUCAACAUGUUAUCGGCUAUAAACUAGUAAUUUAAAUCAAUAAACAAUAACAGCUGUGUUUAGAAGUAAUCUCGUUUACUUCUAAAAGCAUCAAAUGCCUCCUUAGCCCUGCCUAUUACCAUCCUCAAAUUUACAAAAUGGCCGACCAAGAAAACGAACUUAAUGCAGAUAGUUGUCCCACAUAACUUUUAAAAAGUCAGUGGCAAUCAUACAACAGAUCACUAGCACAUUUACAUGCAAAUAAUAACCAAGUUUCUUCUUUUUUUAUGUCUGACAAUUUGUCUUAAUUGAUGGAUCCAGUAUAGGAAAGUUCCAUCAAUGGUGAGUGAUAACAUGGCCGCGAUGUCAGAGAUCAAGAACAAGGACCGUGCAUCUGUGUUCUGUCACAUGAUGAAGUUGUAUAAACAGACGAGCAAAGAUGUGACGGAUACCAUGACCACAAAAUUUUCUACAUUGGACGUCUGACAUUCAAGUGAUUAUGCUUCCUUCUGGUCAUGCUCUAUUUCGAUUUCAGCAGUAAUCUAAGUCUUAGAUUCUGGCGAAAAGGCACAUCAAUAUAUAGCUAUUACACCGAUUUGGCACUUUUUGUUUUUCUAGAGACAGGACCUUACUCCUUAGCAUUUGAAAUUAAAGUGAGAAUAUGUAUCACGGUUCUUGUAUUUACUCAUUUGGUGCAAGGACUGGGCGCGCGGGUUAAGUAAAUAAUAGCAGUGGACAUGUUAAAGUACAUGAGGAUUAUUGUAGACAAUGUUAUCACACUAGGUAUUAAUCAC
rnacentral:lncRNA from 1 species